GAUGAAGAACGUAGCGAAAUGCGAUAAGUAAUGUGAAUUGCAGAAUUCAGUGAAUCAUCGAAUCUUUGAACGCACAUUGCGCCCCUUGGUAUUCCGAGGGGCAUGCCUGUUCGAGCGUCAUUAUAACCCCUCAAGCUCAGCUUGGUGUUGGGGCCUGCUGCACUGGCAGCCCUUAAAAUCAGUGGCGGCGCCAUCUGGCUCUAAGCGUAGUAAUUCUUCUCGCUAUGGAGUCCUGGUGGAUGCUUGCCAUUAACCCCCAAUUUUUCUAUGGUUGACCUCGGAUCAGGUAGGGAUACCCGCUGAAUUUAAGCAUAUCAAUAAGCGGACGA
rnacentral:misc_RNA from 1 species